ensembl:lncRNA
AGAGAUGCCCUAAUUGCAAAAGAGAUAAUCCCAGCGCAGAGCAGAAUAUACUUCCUUUAACCACGGAUUCCUUAUUGCUCCCACAAAGCACUGGGAAAACAGGGGCAUGUGGAGGGGAUUGAAUGGGGAUAGACUUUAAGCUUUGAUUAGGUGCCUCUCUGCCACCCUGGCCUUAUGUUGCCUAGACCCUGAGGUUGAUAGAGGAGAAAAACUGAUGGUUUAAAGCCAAAUCCUCUUCUUCAUUACACUGCAGAGGG